rfam:Oryza punctata chromosome 5, whole genome shotgun sequence.
GAAAAACUCAGUUUUGCGUUUCUGUAUCUAACAUUUGAUUAUUCGUUUUAUUUAAAAAUUUUAAUAUUUUUAUUGUUAUUACAUGAUAAAAUAUAAAUAGUACUUUAAGGGUGACUAUUUUUUAUUUUUUUAUAAAUUUUUCAAAUAAAAUGAACGGUCAAACUUUGGAUACGAAAACCCACAACUGCACUUAAA